CCUACGGGUGGCAGCAGUGAGGAAUAUUGGUCAAUGGGCGCGAGCCUGAACCAGCCAAGUCGCGUGAGGGAAGACGGUCCUAUGGAUUGUAAACCUCUUUUGUCGGGGAGCAAAAGACGCCACGCGUGGCGUUCCGAGAGUACCCGAAGAAAAAGCAUCGGCUAACUCCGUGCCAGCAGCCGCGGUAAUACGGAGGAUGCGAGCGUUAUCCGGUUUUAUUGGGGUUAAAGGGGGCGCAGGCGGAAGAUCAAGUCAGCGGUAAAAUUGAGAGGCUCAACCUCUUCGAGCCGUUGAAACUGGUUGUCUUGAGUGAGCGAGAAGUAUGCGGAAUGCGUGGUGUAGCGGUGAAAUGCAUAGAUAUCACGCAGAACUCCGAUUGCGAAGGCAGCAUACCGGCGCUCAACUGACGCUGAUGCACGAAAGUGUGGGUAUCGAACAGGAUUAGAUACCCCAGUAGUC
rnacentral:rRNA from 1 species